GACGAACGCUGGCGGCGUGCCUAACACAUGCAAGUCGAACGAUGAAGCCGGAGCUUGCUCUGGUGAAUUAGUGGCGAACGGGUGAGUAACACGUGAGUAACCUGCCCUUGACUCUGGGAUAACUGCUAGAAAUGGUAGCUAAUACCGGAUACGACCCUCGGCGGCAUCGCCAGGGGGUGGAAAGAAUUUCGGUCAAGGAUGGACUCGCGGCCUAUCAGCUAGUUGGUGAGGUAACGGCGCACCAAGGCGACGACGGGUAGCCGGCCUGAGAGGGUGACCGGCCACACUGGGACUGAGACACGGCCCAGACUCCUACGGGAGGCAGCAGUGGGGAGUAUUGCACAAUGGGCGCAAGCCUGAUGCAGCAACGCCGCGUGAGGGAUGACGGCCUUCGGGUUGUAAACCUCUUUUAGUAGGGAAGAAGCGAAAGUGACGGUACCUGCAGAAAAAGCACCGGCUAACUACGUGCCAGCCGCCGCAGUAA
rnacentral:rRNA from 1 species